GUUGUAUUGCUCGAUUAUGUAUCCAAUGUCCAUGUCACUAUUGCGUAUAUAUACAGUGAUGCCUCUCCAAGAAUGAUCGGACGAUUUAAUACAAGAUUCAAUAUAAAAGUUACAGGUGAGAAGCAUGGAAUACAAGAGCUGGCGAAGCACAAAGACGAUAAGGAAGCUCCGCAAGGGAGAAUGUGGAGGUGAACAAGAGAAGAAGUAGAAGAAGAGGAACAAGAAAUGGAAGAAGACCAAAAGGAUCAACAACCUAAAGGCACUCCUAGCAAUAUAGCCGGCAUGUUACAACUAUCCACCAGUAAAAUCAAGAGAAUUGUCACUGAUAUUAUGCAUAAUUUUUUCAAAAUAGUAAUUUUAAAUUAUAUCCCAUGGGAAAUUGAUUUUAGAAUAUAACAUAUACAAACUUUUUAACAA